UACGCGUUAUUCUCAACCAAAAUACCCGCCAUCUUUCCGAUAAAAGAGUCUGGCGCUAUAAAGUGUUACAGAAGAAAACUCAAAAUCGGGGCAACGUCAGAUGGCCUUAAGACGGUUGAAGAACGCGGAGGAGACCAAGAUCCAAGCAAAAGAAGUACUAUUGAGUCCACCUUGACUACUACUUCAUUUUCGACUCCGGCAAUCGAUAAAGACAUAAAAAAGGUUGUUCAAAAGACUGCUACAACUUUUGAGCCAAGGGCUUCCACCGCAACAAAGAAUCCUGCAGUACCUGGGGCUGCUUUGUACACUGUUUUUGAAGUUCAAGGUUAUGCCUCAAUGUUGCUUGGUGGGGCACUUUCGUUCAACUUCAUAUUUCCAUCGAAUGAACCUGACAUAUGGAGAUUGAUG